GACGAACGCUGGCUGCGUGCUUAACACAUGCAAGUCGAACGCUGAAGCCGACAGCUUGCUGUUGGUGGAUGAGUGGCGAACGGGUGAGUAACACGUGAGUAACCUGCCCCUGAUUUCGGGAUAAGCCUGGGAAACUGGGUCUAAUACCGGAUACGACCUUUCCUCGCAUGAGGGUUGGUGGAAAGUUUUUCGAUCGGGGAUGGGCUCGCGGCCUAUCAGCUUGUUGGUGGGGUAAUGGCCUACCAAGGCGACGACGGGUAGCCGGCCUGAGAGGGCGACCGGCCACACUGGGACUGAGACACGGCCCAGACUCCUACGGGAGGCAGCAGUGGGGAAUAUUGCACAAUGGGGGAAACCCUGAUGCAGCGACGCAGCGUGCGGGAUGACGGCCUUCGGGUUGUAAACCGCUUUCAGCAGGGAAGAAGCGAAAGUGACGGUACCUGCAGAAGAAGUACCGGCUAACUACGUGCCAGCCGCCGCCGUAACAC
rnacentral:rRNA from 1 species